rnacentral:rRNA from 1 species
AGCCCCCUUCAAGAUGAGAUUUCCCAUUACGCAAGUAAGUAAGAUCCCUCAAAGAUGAUGAGGUGGAUAGGUCUGGGGUGGAAGCACGGCGACGUGUGCAGCUGACAGAUACUAAUCGAUCGAGGACUUAACCUA